GGAACCCGUGGAACUCUUUAUACAGUUUGUCCUAUCUAAGGAUCCGUAGGGCAAGACUGGGAAGCGCGUGAUUUGCUGUAGAUAUUUCUGAUUGCAAGGUUACGUCAAAGACCCUCUGGUUGGAAAUCCUUAAACUCAUCAAAUAAAAUGAGCGGAAAGAAAGCUGAUGGCCGACUGGACGGUGUCAUGGGAUGGAUUAGUCCAGCUUGUUAUUUUGCGACGGUCAGAAAGGACUUCAGAAGCACCACUCCUAUGCAUUGCCUGCAUCUCCCACUGGUCUAAAGGCCAUACUCUGUGACGUCUUGGUUUGGGUGGAGAGUCUGGAGCGAGGGAUGAGGAAUAUGAAAGACUGAGAAUGGAGGGCAAAGAACACCGUACAUGAUCUUCUUGAGGCUCUGAAGGUUUAGAAUAUCAUAAAUGAAGAGGCGAAAGAGAGGCUCAAUUUCUACUCUGAUCUCCCGAUAGACCUCCUGUCAAUACGGGGCCAUGAGUACACAAAAGACCAGAGGGAGUUUGCACUCACUCUCCACUUACAUGGUCCAAAAUAUAACUCUCCAUCUUGACCUCCCACAUCCACAUAUAUUACAAAGGUAUUCAUGUCAUUUCAUUGCACCUUUACAAAAUACUGGUUGUAAUACAUUAAAGAACUACUUUUUCAUUUUGGCAUUUUGGAGUUCUGUAGAUCAAUCGUCUGAAAAGAGCAAAUAUCAGUUUUAAAGGAAUAGUUCACCCGAAAAUGUACUGAUAAUGCGCUUACCGUAAGGCCAUCCAAGCCAUGUAUGACUUUCUUUAUUCAUCAGAGCAAAAAAAAAACAUCUGCAGGCCAGUUCCAGGGCAUUUUCUGCCAUCUCAUGGUGCGGUGUCCUCUGCUCUAGUAGCAGAAGAAACUGAAGGGCUUCCAUCCCCUUUUGUUAACAUCUCUGCAAUUUGUGUAUGGCCAUAGCUACCUGCCAACCCACUUUGGUUGCCUUGUGGACAAUCCCCUUGUGUACAUAUCAGGGUUUGUCAUUCAACAGAUUUUGGGAAAUUAUUAUGUAUUAUUGUACUAUUCAGUACUCACUAUUUUAUUUUCUAUUUUGUUAGUGAUGGUAUUACUGUUUAUUCUAUGUAUACUAUUUCUAUUAUUGUACUAUUGUAUUAUAUUAUACUACUUAUAUUAUUGUACUAUUCACUACUCACUAUUUUAUUUACUUUUUAUUGACUGUAUAUUCUGCAAUUUAUUUUAUUGCAAUAAAAAAUAUA